ACGCUGGCGGCAGGCCUAACACAUGCAAGUCGAACGGUAACAGGAAUCAGCUUGCUGAUUCGCUGACGAGUGGCGGACGGGUGAGUAAUGUCUGGGAAACUGCCUGAUGGAGGGGGAUAACUACUGGAAACGGUAGCUAAUACCGCAUAACGUCGCAAGACCAAAGAGGGGGACCUUCGGGCCUCUUGCCAUCGGAUGUGCCCAGAUGGGAUUAGCUAGUAGGUGGGGUAAAGGCUCACCUAGGCGACGAUCCCUAGCUGGUCUGAGAGGAUGACCAGCCACACUGGAACUGAGACACGGUCCAGACUCCUACGGGAGGCAGCAGUGGGGAAUAUUGCACAAUGGGCGCAAGCCUGAUGCAGCCAUGCCGCGUGUAUGAAGAAGGCCUUCGGGUUGUAAAGUACUUUCAGCGGGGAGGAAGGGAGUAAAGUUAAUACCUUUGCUCAUUGACGUUACCCGCAGAAGAAGCACCGGCUAACUCCGUGCCCAGCAGCCGCGGUAAUACGGAGGGUGCAAGCGUUAAUCGGAAUUACUGGGCGUAAAGCGCACGCAGGCGGUUUGUUAAGUCAGAUGUGAAAUCCCCGGGCUCAACCUGGGAACUGCAUCUGAUACUGGCAAGCUUUGAGUCUCGUAGAGGGGGGUAGAAUUCCAGGUGUAGCGGUGAAAAUGCGUAGAGAUCUGGAGGAAUACCGGUGGCGAAGGCGGCCCCCUGGACGAAGACUGACGCUCAGGUGCGAAAGCGUGGGGAGCAAACAGGAUUAGAUACCCUGGUAGUCCACGCCGUAAACGAUGUCGACUUGGAGGUUGUGCCCUUGAGGCGUGGCUUCCGGAGCUAACGCGUUAAGUCGACCGCCUGGGGAGUACGGCCGCAAGGUUAAAACUCAAAUGAAUUGACGGGGGCCCGCACAAGCGGUGGAGCAUGUGGUUUAAUUCGAUGCAACGCGAAGAACCUUACCUGGUCUUGACAUCCACGGAAGUUUUCAGAGAUGAGAAUGUGCCUUCGGGAACCGUGAGACAGGUGCUGCAUGGCUGUCGUCAGCUCGUGUUGUGAAAUGUUGGGUUAAGUCCCGCAACGAGCGCAACCCUUAUCCUUUGUUGCCAGCGGUCCGGCCGGGAACUCAAAGGAGACUGCCAGUGAUAAACUGGAGGAAGGUGGGGAUGACGUCAAGUCAUCAUGGCCCUUACGACCAGGGCUACACACGUGCUACAAUGGCGCAUACAAAGAGAAGCGACCUCGCGAGAGCAAGCGGACCUCAUAAAGUGCGUCGUAGUCCGGAUUGGAGUCUGCAACUCGACUCCAUGAAGUCGGAAUCGCUAGUAAUCGUGGAUCAGAAUGCCACGGUGAAUACGUUCCCGGGCCUUGUACACACCGCCCGUCACACCAUGGGAGUGGGUUGCAAAAGAAGUAGGUAGCUUAACCUUCGGGAGGGCGCUUACCACUUUGUGAUUCA
rnacentral:rRNA from 1 species